UAGAGUGUGGCUCAGUGAUAGAGUGUGUGCUUAGAAUGCACAAGGCCCUGAGGUCUAUCCCCAGCACCAUAA
rfam:Ictidomys tridecemlineatus contig094835, whole genome shotgun sequence.